CUGGCAUGUGCACAUUCUUCAGGGCUCUCUGCAUUUUUGGAGAAGGGGUGUCCCAAGUCAGACAGGUAGAACAAACACUCCCGAAUCCAGCUUUCACACUGACUGACAAAUGAAUGACUUCACCUCGUUAGUCUUUUACAGCGACCAUAUUACGUCAGGAGUAAGACGGAUCCGUUUGGCACGGGCAACAGUAUGAGGUCCCCCCCCCCCCCUACUCGCCCCCUGCUGCCAUGGCAACCGUAAAACCUGACAAAUGGAAGGUUCUGGAGCCUUGAAAGGAUCCAUUAUGGCUGCGAGGGCAUCCAUCCCGAGCGAGGGAAGGAGGAGGGGAGGAUGGAGAUGAGACAGGAGGGGGAGGGGCCGCUGCGAAUACUGAUGAUGGCCGCGCAAGAAAUCAACCUGAGGGAGGAAGACGGAGGAGCUUUGAUGCCCUCAGGUGGUUCCCGGUUGCGCAUCCUCUACCGUCAAAUCACUGGUGCACUGCAGUGAAUCCACACCCCUACGCCUCUGCCCCCCAAAAGCCGCAGGAAUGUGACCUUUGACUCAUCUUGCAGCACCCCCCCCCUGUGACUCUGCUGGCUCUCUCUUCUGACAUUGUGGUACCGUAUUUAUACCUGGAAAUACUGUUAAUACAUAAUAUUCGGAUCUGUACCAGAAGAUGGCGGCAAAUCACAGAUUUUGUCAAAAUGGAGCUCCGACUCACUUCAACAUAAUUCCUUGGCACCAACAUGGUGCCAAAGUUCCAUUUGUUACGUACGUUUCGGCCCCAUUUCACUUUUAAGUGCAAUACCUUUGUAUUUAAUCUUUCAGAGCUGGUUGUGCCUGUACAAUUUUAUUAUAAUUUUACGCGCAACACACUUUAACGGAAUCAUUAUUUGAGUGCAGUUUUUGUGAUUUUCCUACAUUUUAGCACACUGUUAAUUUGCUAAAAACGUAAAGAUUGUUAUACGUGCUUUGCAGUCGUAGAUACUCCUGAAUGUGUGGCCGAUGAGAACCCCCGACCCCACCCCGUGAUGCAAUCGGGCUCAAAUUGACCCCAUGUGAAACUGCUUCAAUUUCACAUCUUUAAAAAAGAUUUAGUUCGUACUUGGGUUAAUUCGGACAUAUACGUGGUUUAUUGGGAUUUGUUUGUUUUGGAUGAUUGCAGAGGCCCCGGGUCAAAUUGACGCAAGGAACAUUGUUGCUCUUCAUGAGAAUCGAACGCAAACGGAGAAGUUCAAGCGAAGGCUGUGUCGAGGGUGGGCCGAUCAUCACAAUCGCAGCAUUUGCCUUGAGAAGCUCUCGCAAACCAUCCCGGAUGGAGAGUGGCGCAUCGCUGCGACACUGCCGCCUCCUUGCCUUGUCCACCGGCGCCUUUUAGUGGUUGACUUGAGGUAUUGCAAUUUGACUUGAGCGUUCGCAAUAGGAAAACUGAGCGUGUUUUCACGAACUUACACGGAAACGUUCGUCGCAAUUGCAGUGAAUGUCUGAAAGAAAAACAUUUUGUGGCUAUAGAUGGAACUAAAUGCGAUGAAAAGUAGGAAGUAGGUGACAUUAGGAAUGGUUGACGAGAUAUUCUUGCACCAAGCUGCAGUCCCACUAACCUGUGCUAGCCGGUAAAGUUUA